rnacentral:rRNA from 1 species
GACGAACGCUGGCGGCGUGCUUAACACAUGCAAGUCGAACGAAGAGCGAUGGAAGCUUGCUUCUAUCAAUCUUAGUGGCGAACGGGUGAGUAACGCGUAAUCAACCUGCCCUUCAGAGGGGGACAACAGUUGGAAACGACUGCUAAUACCGCAUACGAUCUAAUCUCGGCAUCGAGGAUAGAUGAAAGGUGGCCUCUACAUGUAAGCUAUCACUGAAGGAAGGGAUUGCGUCUGAUUAGCUAGUUGGAGGGGUAACGGCCCACCAAGGCGAUGAUCAGUAGCCGGUCUGAGAGGAUGAACGGCCACAUUGGGACUGAGACACGGCCCAGACUCCUACGGGAGGCAGCAGUGGGGAAUCUUCCGCAAUGGACGAAAGUCUGACGGAGCAACGCCGCGUGAGUGAUGACGGCCUUCGGGUUGUAAAGCUCUGUUAAUCGGGACGAAAGGCCUUCUUGCGAAUAGUGAGAAGGAUUGACGGUACCGGAAUAGAAAGCCACGGCUAACUACGUG